rnacentral:misc_RNA from 1 species
AAUCAAAAUUCAGAGUCAGAUUGGAUGUGAGGGCUGGUUUUGGUUUCUGUUGGAUUAGCUAGCGCUAAAGGAAGCUUCAUUUAUGUUUGAACUAUCUAAUAUUCUGUAUACUCUCGUUGGUAUAACUUUCACUGGUUGUCAUGAGAAGUGAUUAUGGUCUUGAGGACUACAGCUGAAAUAGAUGAAAGUGUUCUUUGUGUGUGUGUGUGUGUG